GUCAGGGAGGAGACUUAGGGCAGGAGGACCGGUCAGGGAGGAGUUAGGGGAGGAGGACCGGUCAGGGAGGAGUUAGGGCAGGGGGAUUGGUCAGGGAGGAGUUAGGGCAGGGGGAUUGGUCAGGGAGGAGUUAGGGCAGGAGGACCGGUCAGGGAGGAGUUAGGGCAGGAGGACCGGUCAGGGAGGAGACUUAGGGCAGGAGGACUGGUCAGGGAGGAGUUAGGGCAGGAGGACCGGUCAGGGAGGAGUUAGGGCAGGAGGACCGGUCAGGGAGGAGACUUAGGGCAGGGGGAUUCGUCAGGGAGGAGUUAGGGCAGGAGGACCGGUCAGGGAGGAGUUAGGGCAGGAGGACUGGUCAGGGAGGAGUUAGGGCAGGAGGACAGGUCAGGGAGGAGACUUAGGGCAGGAGGACCGGUCAGGGAGGAGACUUAGGGCAGGAGGACUGGUCAGGGAGGAGUUAGGGCAGGAGGACCGGUCAGGGAGGAGUUAGGGCAGUAGGACCGGUCAGGGAGGAGUUAGGGCUGGAGGACUGGUCAGGGAGGAGUUAGGGCUGGAGGACAGGUCAGGGAGGAGUUAGGGCAGGAGGACGGGUCAGGGAGGAGUUAGGGGAGGAGGACUGGUCAGGGAGGAGUUAGGGCUGGAGGACCGGUCAGGGAGGAGUUAGGGCAGGAGGACCGGUCAGGGAGGAGUUAGGGCUGGAGGACCGGUCAGGGAGGAGUUAGGGCAGGAGGACCGGUCAGGGAGGAGUUAGGGCAGGAGGACCGGUCAGGGAGGAGACUUAGGGCAGGAGGACUGGUCAGGGAGGAGUUAGGGCUGGAGGACCGGUCAGGGAGGAGUUAGGGCAGGAGGACUGGUCAGGGAGGAGUUAGGGCAGGAGGACAGGUCAGGGAGGAGACUUAGGGCAGGAGGACCGGUCAGGGAGGAGACUUAGGGCAGGAGGACUGGUCAGGGAGGAGUUAGGGCAGGAGGACCGGUCAGGGAGGAGUUAGGGCAGUAGGACAGGUCAGGGAGGAGUUAGGGCAGGAGGAUCGGUCAGGGAGGAGUUAGGGCAGGAGGACCGGUCAGGGAGGAGUUAGGGCAGGAGGACCGGUCAGGGAGGAGUUAGGGCAGGAGGACAGGUCAGGGAGGAGACUUAGGGCUGGAGGACUGGUCAGGGAGGAGUUAGGGCAGGAGGACCAGUUAGGAGGCAGUGACUUAGGACUUCAGCAGUGGCACUAGAAAGGGGAUGGAUAUGAACGACAUUGCAAAGUAAAACUAGAGAGACGGCCGGGCACAGUGGCUCACUCCUGUAAUCCCAGCACUUUGGGAGGCCAAGGCGGGUGGAUCAUGAGGUCAGGAGAUCGAGACCAGCCUGGCCAACAUGGUGAAACCCUAUCUCUACUAGAAAAAAAAAAAAAUAGCCAGGCGUGGUGGCGGGCGCCUGUAAUCCCAGCUACUCCAGAGGCUGAGGCAGGAGAAUUUGCUUGAACCAGGGAGUCGGAAGUUGCA
rnacentral:lncRNA from 10 species